rnacentral:rRNA from 1 species
UACGGAGGAGGCAAGCGUUAUCCGGAAUUAUUGGGCGUAAAGCGUCCGCAGGUGGCACUUCAAGUCUGUCGUCAAAGACUGGGGCUUAACCCUGGAAAGGCGGUGGAAACUGAAGCGCUAGAGUGCGGUAGGGGUAGAGGGAAUUCCCGGUGUAGCGGUGAAAUGCGUAGAUAUCUGGAGGAACACCGGUGGCGAAGGCGGCAUCCUGGACCGGUAUUGACGCUGAGGCGCGAAAGCUAGGGGAGCAAACGGG